rnacentral:rRNA from 1 species
AGCGAACGUUGGCGGCGUGUCUGAGGCAUGCAAGUCGUGCGAGAAACCCUGGUUUCGGCCGGGGCGGUAAAGCGGCGGACGGGUGCGUAAUACGUGUGUAACCUGCCCGCGAGAGGGGAAUAACCCCCCCAACGGGGGGCUAAUACCGCGUACGUCCUCGGGCCGCAUGGCACCGAGGGGAAAGGCGGGGAUCCUUCGGGACCUGUCGCUCGCGGAGGGGCACACGGCCCAUCAGCUAGUUGGCGGGGUGACGGCCCACCAAGGCUAUGACGGGUACCCGGGCUGAGAGGCUGUCCGGGCACACUGGGACUGAGACACUGUCCAGACACCUACGGGUGGCUGCAGUUCAGAAUCUUUCGCAAUGGGCGAAAGCCUGACGAAGCGACGCCGCGUGGAGGAUGAAGGCCCUCGGGUUGUAAACUCCUGUCAAACGUUAGCAAAGGGACGGAGGCUAACAGUCUUCGUUCUUGAGAAAAGCGUGAGAGGAAGCGCCGGCUAACUCUGUGCCAGCAGCCGCGGUAAGACAGAGGGCGCGAACGUUGCUCGAUGUUACUGGGCCUAAAGGGCACGUAGGCGGCCCGAUUAGUGGGGGGUGAAAUCCCUCGGCUUAACCGAGGAAUUGCUCUCCAUACGGUCGGGCUUGAGGACCGGAGGGAAGCGGAACGCUACGUGUAGCGGUGAAAUGGCGUUGAUACGUAGUGGAACGCCAGCGGCGAAGGCGGCUUCCUGGUCGGUUUCUGACGCUGAGGUGCGAAAGCGUGGGGAGCGAACGGGAUUAGAUACCCCGGUAGUCCACGCCCUAAACGCUGGGCACUAGGUAGUGGGGGUCCUGAUGGCUCUCACUGCCGAAGCGAAAGCGCUAAGUGCCCCGCCUGGGGAGUAUGGUCGCAAGGUUGAAACUCAAAGGAAUUGACGGGGGCUCACACAAGCGGUGGAGCAUGUUGCUCAAUUCGAAGCAACGCGAAGAACCUUACCAGGGCUUGAAAUGCACGGAUUAGCCCGUCGAAAGGCGGGUGACGCUCGCAAGGGUGGAACGUGCACAGGUGCUGCAUGGCUGUCGUCAGCUCGUGUCGUGAGAUGUCGGGUUAAGUCCCACAACGAGCGAAACCCUUGCCGUUAGUUGCCAGCGGGUAAUGCCGGGCACUCUAGUGGGACUGCCGGUGUUAAGCCGGAGGAAGGUGGGGACGACGUCAAGUCAUCAUGGCCCUUACGUCCUGGGCUGCAAACGUGCUACAAUGGCCGGUACAGAGAGAAGCAAGCCCGCGAGGGGGAGCAAAGCUCGAAAGCCGGCCCCAGUUCGGAUUGGAUGGCUGCAACUCGCCUCCAUGAAGCUGGAAUCGCUAGUAAUCGCGGAUCAGCCACGCCGCGGUGAAUGUGUACCUGAGCCUUGUACACACCGCCCGUCAAGCCAUGAAAGCUGGAGGUACCUGAAGCCGCUGACUCAACCCGCAAGGGAGGGAGGCGCCCACGGUAAAGCCAGUGAUUGGGGCU